rnacentral:misc_RNA from 1 species
GAACUGCGAUAAGUAAUGUGAAUUGCAGAAUUCAGUGAAUCAUCGAGUCUUUGAACGCACAUUGCGCCCCCUGGCAUUCCGGGUGGCAUGCCUGUCCGAGCGUCAUUGCUGCCCUUCAAGCCCGGCUUGUGUGUUGGGUCGUCGUCCCCUCCGGGGGACGGGCCCGAAAGGCAGCGGCGGCACCGCGUCCGGUCCUCGAGCGUAUGGGGCUUUGUCACCCGCUCGAUAAGGACCGGCCGGGCGCCAGCCGGCGUCUCCAACCUUUUUUUCUCAGGUUGACCUCGGAUCAGGUAGGGAUACCCGCUGAACUUAAGC